rnacentral:lncRNA from 7 species
UGGGUUUCUCCACUCGGUUGCAGCUGCGACUGCUGCCCGACCACCAGCGAGGGAGUACGCUGAGCGGGGGAAGCCGCCAUGGGCGAGGUGGAGGUCCGGCCGGCGUGGAGGAGGCUCGGACUGUGAUAGACGCUGGAGAGGAGCUAGGAAGCCGCGGCGCGCAGGGAGCAGGGCGCGCGCGGCGAGUUUGAGGGAGCGAGGGCGAGCUGCUCGGCUGGGAGGGCGCGUGUCAGGGAGAAGAGGGCGAGUGCCAUGGGAAGCAAGGGACCGGGGGCGAGCUCGGCUGGGGUCUUGGUGAGGUCAUGGCGACUUCUGGGGAAGAGGCGCAGGUGCCCAUGCCAUGCGCCAGGAGCAGCAGACCCCGCCCAUGGAAGAGGGAGCUGGGGGAACCACGGAGCGAGUAGGGAAUGGGAAGAGGGAGCUGCAGGGAGAGAGGCGCGCCACCAGGGAGAUGGUUUGGGGCGGCUAGGCGGGCACCGGCAGGGAAGGCCGCCGCUGGAGGCCAGAGAGAGGCGGCCGAGCGCCUGAAGGAGAACGACGGCGGGAUUUUUUUUCAGGUACAGAGCGUGCGGCCAGGAAGAUAAGGCUAAGGGCCCCUACGCGAUGGAAAAAAAAUCUACACAAUGCAUGGAAAAAUCUGCGAGAUGGAAAAAUCAGGAAGAUGGCGGCAGGGAUAGAGACGUGA